AGUGAACGCUGGCGGUAGGCCUAACACAUGCAAGUCGAACGGCAGCACAGUAAGAUCUUGCUCUUACGGGUGGCGAGUGGCGGACGGGUGAGGAAUACAUCGGAAUCUACUUUUUCGUGGGGGACAACGUAGGGAAACUUACGCUAAUACCGCAUACGACCUACGGGUGAAAGCAGGGGAUCUUCGGACCUUGCGCGAUUGAAUGAGCCGAUGUCGGACUAGCUAGUUGGCGGGGUAAAGGCCCACCAAGGCGACGAUCCGUAGCUGGUCUGAGAGGAUGAUCAGCCACACUGGAACUGAGACACGGUCCAGACUCCUACGGGAGGCAGCAGUGGGGAAUAUUGGACAAUGGGCGCAAGCCUGAUCCAGCCAUACCGCGUGGGUGAAGAAGGCCUUCGGGUUGUAAAGCCCUUUUGUUGGGAAAGAAAAGCAGCAGGUUAAUACCCCGCUGUUCUGACGGUACCCAAAGAAUAAGCACCGGCUAACUUCGUG
rnacentral:rRNA from 1 species